GUGGAAUUUAAGGCUUGUUUUUAUCAUAGUUGCCCUUAAUCAACUUUUUAUUGAUAAACUUACAAAUUGCAUGGGUAAAAAAAGUUCCUUUAUUGAUUUAGUGUAAAAAUAUAUAUCCCCCUUAACCAAGACAUAACAAACUUGAAACCAGUCAUGACACCUAUGAUUCAUAGACUUCUUACUUUGGAACAUAUUACAAUAAAGAAUACUAGUCUGCACUCAUUUCUUACC
rnacentral:lncRNA from 1 species